UUUUUGUAUGCUGUAGUGUGUGUGUAAGUUGUAUGUGUGUAGUGAGUGUGUGUGUUUUUGUUUGCUGUGGUGUGUGUGUAAGUUGUAUGUGUGUAUGUGUGUGUUUUUGUUUGCUGUGGUGUGUGUGUAAGUUGUAUGUGUGUGGUGAGUGUGUGUGUUUUUGUAUGCUGUGGUGUGUGUGUAAGUUGUAUGUGUGUAGUGUGUGUUUUUGUAUUCUGUGAUGUGUGUGUAAGCUGUAUGUGUGUAGUGAGUGUGUGUGUUUUUGUAUGCUGUGGUGUGUGUGUAAGUUGUAUGUGUGUAGUGAGUGUGUGUGUUUUUGUAUGCU
rnacentral:lncRNA from 1 species